rnacentral:rRNA from 1 species
UUCUUGGAGAGUUUGAUCCUGGCUCAGAACGAACGCUGGCGGCGUGCUUAACACAUGCAAGUCGAACGAGAAGUACUGUAGCAAUACAGUAUUGUAAAGUGGCGCACGGGUGAGUAACACGUGGGUAAUCUGCCCUCGAGUUUGGGAUAACCCCGCGAAAGCGGGGCUAAUACCGAAUAAGACCACAGGGACCAAAGUCCCCGGGGUAAAAGGUGGCCUCUAUUUAUAAGCUACCACUUGAGGAUGAGCCCGCGGCCCAUUAGCUAGUUGGCGGGGUAAUGGCCCACCAAGGCUAUGAUGGGUAGCUGGUCUGAGAGGACGAUCAGCCACACUGGAACUGAGACACGGUCCAGACUCCUACGGGAGGCAGCAGUGGGGAAUAUUGCGCAAUGGGCGAAAGCCUGACGCAGCAACGCCGCGUGGGGGAUGAAGGUU